rnacentral:rRNA from 1 species
CACACGACUCUCGGCAACGGAUAUCUCGGCUCUCGCAUCGAUGAAGAACGUAGCAAAAUGCGAUACCUGGUGUGAAUUGCAGAAUCCCGCGAACCAUCGAGUUUUUGAACGCAAGUUGCGCCCGAGGCCUUCUGGUUGAGGGCACGUCUGCCUGGGCGUCACGCC